rnacentral:rRNA from 1 species
UCGGCGUUGACUCCAAUUGAACCGCAGGCUUCACCCCUUGUGGUGCUCCCCCGCCAAUUCCUUUAGUUUCAUACUUGCGUACGUACUUCCCAGGCGGCAGACUUAACGGCUUCCCUGCGGCACUGCAUUGGCCACAAGCCAAUGCAUCACCGAGUCUGCAUCGUUUACAGCUGGGACUACCCGGGUAUCUAAUCCGGUUUGCUCCCCCAGCUUUCAUCCCUCACCGUCGAACGUGUUCUGGUACACCGCCUUCGCCACAGGUGGUCUUCAAUAGAUCAAAGGAUUUUACCCCUUCCUAUCGAGUACCGUGUACCUCUCCCACUCCCUAGCUGCACAGUAUUUUCGGCGGCCUAUACGUUAAGCGCAUAGAUUUAACCGAAAACUUAUGCAACCGGCUACGGAUGCUUUAGGCCCAAUAAACCUCCUGACCACUCGAGGUGCUGGUUUUACCGCGGCGGCUGACACCAGAACUUGCCCACCCCUUAUUCACCAGUGAUUCUACAACUGACAAAAGACUCCUUUAGCAGGAGACACUCGGAUUAACCUUGUCGUGCUUUCGCACAUUGCAAAGGUUUCUCGCCUGCUGCGCCCCAUAAGGCCUGGGUCCGUGUCUCAGUACCCAUCUCC